rnacentral:rRNA from 1 species
UACGUAGGGGGCUAGCGUUGUCCGGAUUUAUUGGGCGUAAAGAGCGUGUAGGCGGCCAGAUAGGUCGGUUGUGAAAACUGGAGGCUUAACCUUCAGACGUCGGCGGAAACCACUUGGCUAGAGUCCGGAAGAGGAGAGUGGAAUUCCCAGUGUAGAGGUGAAAUUCGUAGAUAUUGGGAAGAACACCGGUGGCGAAGGCGGCUCUCUGGACCGAGACUGACGCUGAGGCGCGAAAGCGUGGGGAGCAAACAGG